UAGGGAAUCUUCCACAAUGGACGCAAGUCUGAUGGAGCAACGCCGCGUGAGUGAAGAAGGUCUUCGGAUCGUAAAACUCUGUUGUUAGAGAAGAACACGAGUGAGAGUAACUGUUCAUUCGAUGACGGUAUCUAACCGGCAAGUCACGGCUAACUACGUGCCAG
rnacentral:rRNA from 1 species